GCCAAUCAUUGAAUUUUUGAACGCAUAUUGCACUCUCUGGUAUUCCGGAGCGUAUGCCUGUUUGAGGUUCAUUCAAUAGCAUCUUUAUCCAAUUUUUUUUGGUCACAGGUAGUGAGUUCUCCGCGUUUAUCGCGGUAGCUUGAACUAAAUGUUAGUCUCAUUUUAGUCGAGACGCGUAAUAAUAUUAUUUCGCGAAGUCUUCAUUAUGUGACUAUCAAGUUUUGAUGCAUACAAAUUUGCUUUGUAUGCGAUCUAUACAAUUAUUUUGAACAUUACCUCAAAUCAGGUCGGCGUACC
rnacentral:misc_RNA from 1 species